AGAGUUAUAGCUCAGUGGUGGAGCUCAUGCUUAGCAUGCACAAGGUCCUGGGUUCAUUCCCUAGUACCUCUG
rnacentral:tRNA from 1 species